rnacentral:other from 1 species
CGUUCUCUGCAGUGUACGUAUCCGUUCUUAGUCCCUUGAACCUAUAAGCUCAUAGCCCGGGGACUGCCAAAGCAGAUGCUGUUGUGCAUGUCCGCCCCGUAGCGGAAAGCCUGAUGCAUCUCGGUGGUUCCCACCUGAACCUCCGGUUCAGGGCAACAGAGCGGUACGGCACAGGCGGAGAACGC